rnacentral:lncRNA from 1 species
ACCGUCACACACCAGUUACAAGCAAAAUGAUGAACCCCUCCAGUCCCAUGGCCCUCAGUCCUCAUCCAAACACCUUCUCCUUCCAUUACUGAGCCCUGCAAGGAUGGCACACACAGCUGGUGCCCAAGAGCCCAGAUUUCAGAUGAAGCUUAGAGAGAUUAAGUGUUGGCAUAGGGUCCCAGAGCCGAGGUGAGGCUAUAAUUUUGUCU